UUCCGGUUGAUCCUGCCGGAAGUCACUGCUAUCGGGGUUCGAUUAAGCCAUGCGAGUCGAGAGGGUUCGGCCCUCGGCGUACUGCUCAGUAACACGUGGAUAACCUGCCCUAGGGAAGGGGAUAACCCCGGGAAACUGGGGAUAAUACCCUAUAGGUUACAGAUGCUGGAAUGCUCUGUAACCCAAAGUUCCGGCGCCCUAGGAUGGAUCUGCGGCCGAUUAGGUUGUUGUUGGGGUAAUGGCCCAACAAGCCAGUAAUCGGUACGGGUUGUGGGAGCAAGAGCCCGGAGUUGGAUUCUGAGACACGAAUCCAGGCCCUACGGGGCGCAGCAGGCGCGAAAACUUUACAAUGCGGGCAACCGUGAUAAGGGAACCUCGAGUGCCUGUAAAUGCAGGCUGUUUAGGUGUUUAAAACGCACCUGGAGAAAGGGCCGGGCAAGACCGGUGCCAGCCGCCGCGGUAAUACCGGCGGCUCGAGUGGUGGCCACUUUUAUUGGGCUUAAAGCGUUCGUAGCUGGGUUGUUAAGUCUCUUGGGAAAUCUGGCGGCUUAACCGUCAGGCGUCUAAGGGAUACUGGCAAUCUUGGAACCGGGAGAGGUGAGGGGUACUUCGGGGGUAGGAGUGAAAUCCUGUAAUCCUCGAGGGACCACCUGUGGCGAAGGCGCCUCACCAGAACGGCUUCGACAGUGUGGGACGAAAGCUGGGGGAGCAAACCGGAUUAGAUACCCGGGUAGUCCCAGCCGUAAACUAUGCGCGUUAGGUGUAUCGGUGACCACGAGUUACCGAGGUGCCGAAGGGAAACCGUGAAACGUGCCGCCUGGAAGUACGGUCGCAAGGCUGAAACUUAAGGAAUUGGCGGGGGAGCACCACAACGGGUGGAGCCUGCGGUUUAUUGGAGUCACGCCGGG
rnacentral:rRNA from 1 species